rnacentral:lncRNA from 1 species
GGAACCUAAUACCAAAUAGUGAAGAAGCUGUGGAUUAAAGAAACCUUUAAUAGACUGUGAUCUUUGUGAAUGAACAACAUAGAAAAGUGGAAAAUGACUCGUGUUUAGAGAUAAAAAAACAUUUAAACCAAAAGAACAACAACAAAAUAUAGCUUAUGAACCCAGCUUUAAAAUAAUCUU